rnacentral:rRNA from 1 species
UGCAAGUCGCGCGACAAGCCUCUUUUAGCUUGCUAUUAGAGGUGGAGGAGCGGCGCAAGGGUGAGUAACGCGUGGAUUACCAACCCCCAGGUACGGAAUAGCGGCGGGAAACUGCCGGUAAUGCCGUAUAACAUCUCCGGAUCAAAGCUCCGGCGCCUGGGGACGGGUCCGCGUACCAUUAGCCUGUUGGUGGGGUAAAGGCCUACCAAAGCUAAGAUGGUUAGCGGGCGUGAGAGCGUGGCCCGUCACACUGGGACUGAGACACUGCCCAGACACCUACGGGUGGCUGCAGUCGAGAAUCUUUGUCAAUGGACGAAAGUCUGAACAAGCAAUGCCGCGUGCGGGAUGAAGGCCUUCGGGUUGUAAACCGCUGUCAGAGGGGAGCAAAUUUUGAGCGAUCCUCAGAGGAAGCCCGGGCUAAGUUCGUGCCAGCAGCCGCGGUAAUACGAACCGGGCAAACGUUAUUCGGAAUCACUGGGCUUAAAGGGUGCGUAGGCGGCGCUGUAAGUCGGGUGUGAAAUCCCCCAGCUCAACUGGGGAACUGCGCCCGAAACUACAGUGCUUGAGGAAGAUAGAGGUGAGCGGAACGAAUGGUGGAGCGGUGAAAUGCGUUGAUAUCAUUCGGAACACCAGUUGCGAAGGCGGCUCACUGGGCCUUUUCUGACGCUGAGGCACGAAAGCUAGGGGAGCGAACGGGUUUAGAUACCCCGGUAGUCCUAGCUGUAAACGAUGAGCACUAGAUCGGGGAGUCCAACACAACCUCCCGAUCGUAGCG